rnacentral:rRNA from 1 species
GAUGAACGCUGGCGGCGUGCCUAAUACAUGCAAGUCGAGCGAACGGACGAGAAGCUUGCUUCUCUGAUGUUAGCGGCGGACGGGUGAGUAACACGUGGAUAACCUACCUAUAAGACUGGGAUAACUUCGGGAAACCGGAGCUAAUACCGGAUGAUAUUUUGAACCGUAUGGUUCAAAAGUGAAAGACGGUCUUGCUGUCACUUAUAGAUGGAUCCGCGCUGCAUUAGCUAGUUGGUAAGGUAACGGCUUACCAAGGCAACGAUGCAUAGCCGACCUGAGAGGGGGAUCUGCCCGCGUGGAACUGAGGCCGGGUCCAGGCUCCUACGGGAGGGAGCAGGAGGGGAUGUUCAGCACGAGGGGAAAACCUGACACAGCAGAGCCGGGCGAGAUGUGAAGGGAUUCCGAUCGGAAAACCCUGUUAUGAGGGAAGAACAAAUGGGCAAUGAACUGAGCACGUAGUGACGGUAACUAAUCAGAAAGCCCCGGCUAACUACGUG